UAGGAAGCCAUCGCAAAAUUAGUGUCGGAGUGUGGCUGGCCGGGGGAAGGACGUGACGGUCUUCAAGAAACGGCUGUUCAUCAAGACCGCUGGAGCCAUGGAGGUCGUUUCUCUGGGAGCCUUGAGAGGAACGCGGGGAAUGGAUCACGGCGUCGCUGUUGAAGCCUCGACCCGCGCUUCUGAAAACUGAACCACCACAUCAAACUCUGCGUCACCCGUCUGUACCCGGGUAGUUCUUGGAGGCUGGUCGUCUAGCAAUGCAGCAGUGGACAGUCAGCAGUGUCAUGGACCAAAAACAUCCUGCUGGCCACCCAUACAAGACACCAUUGCACACGGGACAGUCAGCAGUGUCAUGGACCAAAAACAUCCUGCUGGCCACCCAUACAAGACACCAUUGCACACGGGACAGUCAGCAGUGUCAUGGACCAAAAACAGACUGCUGGCCACCAAUACAAGACACCAUUGCCUACACAUCCGCCCCCGGAGUCUGGUAGCUCGUCAUUCCUCGGUGUGGCUGAGGUGCCGUCCCAGCGUUUUGUAAGACUCGUGUGAUCUGCAGUGUGGCAUUUACUGAGCUGUCGUGUUCCUAAGAGUUCGAAAGACUCCCCCCAUUGACUUUUUCUUUCUUUUUUUUUUUUAAUAUUUUUGUGCAAGUGGAAUUUAAGUGUUUGUUCUCCGGAGACACUUUGAAGUAAAAUAAACACUUAAUAUGGUUAUAAAUCUAAUGUUUCACAAGUACCUCUUCCCCAAGGAUGGAAUUUACUCCAGAAAAAGUUCAACAAACCCUGAACCGGACGACACUUCUGGAAACUCUGAACCCGUUGAAUGAAAUUGCUUUUUCAAAAUUACAACUUUGUUCACAUAAUUUUAAGUACAAUUGACAAAGUUCUGGGUAUCAUCCAUUCAACAUGCCACCUAAAUCAAUACCCAAUAUGACCUGCCUGUUGGCCCAUAGUUCCAAAAGCAAAGAAUUGGCAUCAUUGUGGCUUAAGUUUACCAAUGAGUGAUGAGAGAGUGAAGAUGCCCCUUACCUCUUGCACUGGAAAGUUGGACAGCACAGGAAUACGCUUCUAGGAGGUCUUGUGAGGCAGGGGUAAGCAGAGCCAUAAUAGAGGAAAGUUUACCAAUGAGUGAUGAGAGAGUGAAGAUGCCCCUUACCUCUUGCACUGGAAAGUUGGACAGCACAGGAAUAAGCUUCUAGGAGGUCUUGUGAGGCAGGGGUAAGCAGAGCCAUAAUAGAGGAAAGUUUACCAAUGAGUGAUGAGAGAGUGAAGAUGCCCCUUACCUCUUGCACUGGAAAGUUGGACAGCACAGGAAUUAAGCUUCUAGGAGGUCUUGUGAGGCAGGGUUAAGCAGAGCCAUAAUAGAGGAAAUACUUUAUAGUUAUUUAUUUACAUCCUUAAUACUAGUGUAGAAAUGUAUUACAAAAAACACGCAAUGACUGAGGAAGGGGGCCAGAGACAGCUCCUUCAGGAAGCAAGGUCAACACCCCUCGACUACACGGACCAUAGUGUUGGGGAGUGUUGUGGACAGCACUUGAGGUAUAUGGCUGUGGUCACAUGGGGGGAUGGGGUGUUGAGUGAGGAGGUGGUUUAGGGAUGGUGAGGGAUUGAGGAGAGCUGUUGGGGUGGAUGUGUUGGCUAGGAGGUACAGAGAUUAAGGUGGAGAGGGAUUGAGGAGAGCUGUUGGGGUGGAUGUGUUGGCUAGGAGGUACAGAGAUUAAGGUGGAGAGGGAUUGAGGAGAGCUGUUGGGGUGGAUGUGUUGGCUAGGAGGUACAGAGAUUAAGGUGGAGAGGGAUUGAGGAGAGCUGUUGGGGUGGAUGUGUUGGCUAGGAGGUACAGAGAUUAAGGAGGGAUUGAGGAGAGCUGUUGGGGUGGAUGUGUUGGCUAGGAGGUACAGAGAUUAAGGUGGAGAGGGAUUGAGGAGAUUGGGGUGGAUGUGUUGGCUAGGAGGUACAGAGAUUAAGGUGGAGAGGGAUUGAGGAGAGCUGAGGACCCACCAGACACGCCAGAGACAUCAUGGGGGAAGUGUGAACCUCAAAUUGAUGUGGAUACAGGUUUUUGUUCUCUGGGGAAGGUAACUUUGCCAAAAUGGGGUCUGAAGAGAAGGAUGUGAUUAAAGAACAGACCACUGGAGGGGCUGUGGCAAGGGACAGGAAGGGUUGGAAGUGUCAUUGACCGUUUAACCUUGUGAAAUAAUGGGAGAAAUGGAGUGACCCUGUCCAACCCCUUAAGGGAAAAUAAAGAUGUUAAAUGAAGAUGGAGAUGAUGAUGAUGUGGUCUGAGGGAAGGUGGUGUCUGUCCUGGCCGCCCCUUUGAGUGUAGACCCCAAGGAAACCAAGCAUCAGAUACACACACAACUAUCUAAGCUUCAUGUGAAUUUCCUUAAGCCUCGACCCUUUCCUGCUGCAGCUGUAGACCAUAGAACACACUAAGCCUUGACCCUUUCCUGUUGCAGCCGUAUGACCACAGAACACACUGUAUAUGCUCCUGUAAAGACCGGUUUUGUUAGAGCUUUUAGACAUGAGGUCAACUUUACCAUGGAUAACACUUGGUGGGUCUCAUUGGAGUUUUACCUGAGCACAAACAGCAGUGGAGAUGAUAUUUGUACAAUGAAACCUUACUUAUUAUAUACAUUUUACAACUAUAAGGAGUAUUUCCCAUCAAAUUUGGCUCCGUCACAGUGCAAAUUUUAACUAUCAGGAGUAUUUCCCAUCAAAUUUGGCUCCGUCACAGUGCAAAUUUUAACUAUCAGGAGUAUUUCCCAUCAAAUUUGGCUCCGUCAGUGCCAAUUAUAACUAUCAGGAGUAUUUCCCAUCAAAUUUGGCUCCGUCACAGUGCCAAGAGUCCGGGAGUAUCGGGGAAUAAAAUAAGAGAAUGGCCAUCUCCUGACUGACAUGAAUUAGGAAGCAAAGAUUCCUAGGCAUUCACGAAAUAUAUCAAGGCUCAAUGACCCUAUCAGGCCCCCUACACUCAUGCCCCAAAGAUGCCCCGAGUCCCAUCUAGCUGAACACACCACACAUCAGAACCAUCAAGAAGUCCACAGCUCUAGACUUUAACCCGGUAGCAGCGACGGGCCAAAUUUGUGGUUUUACCGUGUAGCAGCGACGGGCCAAAUUUGUGGCUUUACCGUGUAGCAGCGACGGGCCAAA